AGAGUUUGAUCCUGGCUCAGGACGAACGCUGGCGGUGCGCCUAAUGCAUGCAAGUCGAACGAGCGAAGGGGCUUCGGCCCCCUAGCCAGUGGCAGACGGCUGAGUAACACGUAAGUGAUCUGCCCCGGAGAGGGGGAUAAGCCGGAGAAAUCCGGUCUAAUACCCCGUACGAUCCCCACGUUGCGGUGUGGAGAGGAAACGUUCCGACGCUCUGGGAGGAGCUUGCGGCCUAUCAUGGUAGUUGGUGGGGUAAAAGCCUACCAAGCCGAAGACGGGUAACCGGUGUGAGAGCACGAUCGGUCAGAGGGGGACUGAGACACGGCCCCCACUCCUACGGGAGGCAGCAGCAGGGAAUCUUGCGCAAUGGGCGAAAGCCUGACGCAGCGACACCGCGUGGGGGAUGAAGGCUCUUGGGUCGUAAACCCCUUUUGUCGGGGAAGAGAACGGACGGUACCCGACGAAUAAGGUUCGGCUAACUACGUGCCAGCAGCCGCGGUAAUACGUAGGAACCGAGCGUUGUCCGGAUUUACUGGGCGUAAAGUGCGCGUAGGCGGCUUGUUAAGUCUCAUGUGAAAUCUCCCGGCUCAACUGGGAGGGGUCAUGGGAUACUGGCAGACUUGAGUGUGGCAGAGGGGAGUGGAAUUCCCGGAGUAGUGGUGGAAUGCGUAGAUACCGGGAGGAACACCAGAGGCGAAGGCGACUCCCUGGGCCAUGUCUGACGCUGAGGCGCGAAAGCGUGGGGAGCGAACCGGAUUAGAUACCCGGGUAGUCCACGCCCUAAAUGGUGGAUACUAGACAUGGGGGGUAUCGACCCCCUCUGUGUCGUAGUUAACGCGUUAAGUAUCCCGCCUGGGGAGUACGGCCGCAAGGCUAAAACUCAAAGGAAUUGACGGGGGCCCGCACAAGUAGCGGAGCGUGUUGUUCAAUUCGAUGACAAGCGAAGAACCUUACCAGGGCUUGACAUGUUUCCGACAGUCCCCGAAAGGGGUACUUUCCUUCGGGACGGAUUCACAGAUGUUGCAUGGCUGUCGUCAGCUCGUG
rnacentral:rRNA from 1 species